GAUGAACGCUGGCGGCGUGCCUAAUACAUGCAAGUCGAGCGAACAGACGAGGAGCUUGCUCCUUUGACGUUAGCGGCGGACGGGUGAGUAACACGUAGGUAACCUACCUAUAAGACUGGGAUAACUUCGGGAAACCGGAGCUAAUACCGGAUAAUAUUUCGAACCGCAUGGUUCGAUAGUGAAAGAUGGCUUUGCUAUCACUUAUAGAUGGACCUGCGCCGUAUUAGCUAGUUGGUAAGGUAACGGCUUACCAAGGCAACGAUACGUAGCCGACCUGAGAGGGUGAUCGGCCACACUGGAACUGAGACACGGUCCAGACUCCUACGGGAGGCAGCAGUAGGGAAGCUUCCGCAAUGGGCGAAAGCCUGACGGAGCAACGCCGCGUGAGUGAUGAAGGUCUUCGGAUCGUAAAACUCUGUUAUUAGGGAAGAACAAACGUGUAAGUAACUGUGCACGUCUUGACGGUACCUAAUCAGAAAGCCACGGCUAACUACGUG
rnacentral:rRNA from 1 species